UAAAGUCGAUGAUGAGGUCACUUUGCCUGCUGCAAAGGGCAACACAAGAGAAAGGUGAUUUUUCCUUCCUGAGAUACAUCAUUGUACUUGUGGGUGUAGCAGUACUUCACAUAUGUGUUGUAUCAGUUACUAUAUGGAGGAAAAGGCAAAGGGAUGGUGGUCUUCAGCAGGAAGAGACUGUGGUGUAUGAAAAUACAAGAGAGCCUUCUGCAUCCAUCAUAUUAGACUGAUCAAUUUUUUUCAAAAUCUACAGCGCAAAAAAACUCAAAAAUAUGAAAGUGUGCUGUUUAUUCAUAUAUAAUUUUUCAAUAAUCCAAAUGGUGUUAAUAG